UACGUAGGGUGCAAGCGUUAAUCGGAAUUACUGGGCGUAAAGCGUGCGCAGGCGGUUUUGUAAGUCUGACGUGAAAGCCCCGGGCUCAACCUGGGAAUUGCGUUGGAGACUGCAAGGCUUGAAUCUGGCAGAGGGGGGUAGAAUUCCACGUGUAGCAGUGAAAUGCGUAGAGAUGUGGAGGAACACCGAUGGCGAAGGCAG
rnacentral:rRNA from 1 species